UACAGAGGGUGCAAGCGUUAAUCGGAAUGACUGGGCGUAAAGGGCGCGUAGGUGGUUGUAUAAGUUGGUUGUGAAAUCCCCGGGCUUAACCUGGGAACUGCAGCCAAUACUGUGCAACUAGAGUAGAGAAGAGGAAAGUAGAAUUUCCGGUGUAGCGGUGAAAUGCGUAGAUAUCGGAAGGAAUACCAGUGGCGAAGGCGGCUUUCUGGACUCAUACUGACACUGAGGCGCGAAAGCGUGGGGAGCAAACAGG
rnacentral:rRNA from 1 species